rnacentral:rRNA from 1 species
GACGAACCGUGCGAACGUUGUUCGGAUUCACUGGGCUUAAAGGGCGCGUAGGCGGGUGAUCAAGUCCGGGGUGAAAUCCUUCAGCUCAAAUGGAGAAUAGCCUUGGAUACUGGUCGCCUCGAGGGAGGUAGGGGCGGGCGGAACUUCCGGUGGAGCGGUGAAAUGCGUAGAUAUCGGGAGGAACACCAGUGGCGAAGGCGACUUCCUGGCCUGUUCUUGACGCUGAGGCGCGAAAGCUAGGGUAGCAAACGGG